rnacentral:lncRNA from 1 species
AUCGCCCUGUCGCUUUUUUUUUUUUUUUCUUCGCAGACAUGGCGGCGUCCUGCAUUUCGUGUGUGCGUCGUAGUGUCGAGUUUUGUUCAUGCGGUCGACCUUUACUGCGUUACCUCGCAUUGUGUGUUGUGUGUUGCGGUUACUGACGUAAGCGCAAGUUCUUCACUGAGUAUGAUCCGCGGCACCGUGCAAAUAGUCACCAGAUGCCGGCCGAGCGACUCCGUUCUCUGCGACUCCUUUGUUCGGUGUGAUGGAGGGACGUGAUUCAUAGCUUUGGAGACCCUCUUUACACCGUGCCCUCUUCAAACGUUUCCACGCAUCAGUGAGUAGCAGCACCGCAAUCUUUACUCGACGGCACGCUCUGUGGGCCUAGAAAAUGCCUUGACGUUCGAGCACUUCGGGAGCUAUACCGGCGGACAGCCGGAUGCGGGUAGCUUGGCCGUUCCUUGCUCUGCGCAUCGCUUGAAAACCGGCGGUCAUCCUGCAGUGUACGCUGCCAGCGUGCUUUCUUGCCAGAGCCACCUCCCCUGCUGGUGAUGACCAUAUGCAGCCAAUGCUGAUGUGAACCCGAGUGAUGAACAAAUGCAGAUCUGCAAAGGAGCUGUCCUGAGGCACCAUGCUUACUCAAAUCAUGCAGCGAGAGUCAGUUGCCAUUAUUUUUAUCGCACUCAGCGAGUAAUGCUGCUAUUGUUUGGACGAAGAGGAUGAAAAGCAAUAGGCGAGCCCAGUUUUCGUUUAAC